UUGAACGCUGGCGGCAUGCCUAACACAUGCAAGUCGAACGGAAACAGGACGCUGGGAUCCCUUCGGGGUGAACUUGUCGCUGUCGAGUGGCGGACGGGUGAGUAAUGCGUAGGAAUUUGCCUCAAAGUCGGGGGAUAGCCCGAAGAAAUUCGGAUUAAUACCGCAUGUGCUCUACGGAGGAAAGCGGGCCUCUACCUGUAAGCUCGCGCUUUGAGAUAAGCCUACGUCGGAUUAGCUUGUUGGUGGGGUAAUGGCCUACCAAGGCGACGAUCCGUAGCUGGUUUGAGAGGAUGAUCAGCCACACCGGAACUGAGACACGGUCCGGACUCCUACGGGAGGCAGCAGUGGGGAAUAUUGGACAAUGGGCGCAGGCCUGAUCCAGCAAUGCCGCGUGUGUGAAGAAGGCCUGCGGGUUGUAAAGCACUUUUAUCAGGAAAGAAAAUCUCGGGGCUAAUACCCCCGGGCCUUGACGGUACCUGAUGAAUAAGCACCGGCUAACUCCGUG
rnacentral:rRNA from 1 species